ACUAAAGAUCCCUGCCUACCUGAGGUCUUCUGAAGGAGUCUCUCAAAACUUAUACUGAAAGGUUUCUUUUAACAAAAUGAGAAAAUUCAUGAUCAAGCAUAUUAAUGUCCCGAUGAAAUGAAAAAUUAGUCAAGAGCUGCUGUAUGACAGGUAGAUAUCUUGCUGUCAUGACAGCAGAGAAGCAUGAAGCAUGAACUCAAGCAUAUCCUGAAGUUAAACAAAUAAACAACAAAACCCUUAAAAACAGGUGAAGGAGGAAGAUAAAAGAAAAAUGAAUUUCCACAGUUUUAAAAACAUCUAACGAGGCUUCAGAUUCUUGUUUUUUGAGCAAGUGUUUUAAUAAUACUACUUGGAUUUGUAUACUGAUGAUCAUAGUGGAUUUUAACUCUUUGAAAACUCAUCUGACUUUCUCUGGGAUGCUGCUGGGUUUAUUAGCCAAGGAUCUUGUAUCAGAGAUAUUCCAUUUUGGGUACAGAAAGGAUUGAAGGAAUUCUUAAAUAAGAUAUACACAUUGCACAAUCUAAACCUGAAUGAAUGUAAGUCUGUAUGUAUUGCACACCUUCCUUUCUUAAAAUCAAUUUUAGAACAGCUGUUACAUUCAGCAGUAAAUAUCUCUGGCUGUCUUUCAGAGCCUUAUUCUCCCUUUUGUCAACACAUUGUCCUUUAUGCACUUGAAAAAUAUCUUUAAACCUCGACCUUUUUAAUUUUGUAUUUUUGCCUUUUUUAACAUGUUUAAAAUUUGUGAACCUCAGACUAUGGCUUACCUGUUUAAGGACUGUUGUUUUCAUACCUUCAAGUCUUCCUAAUUUCCCUUUACCUUUUUGUCAUCACUUCCUCUGCUUUCUGUGGAUAAACAUUUAGUUUGGGAAUGCGUAAUCCUUGAGAGUAGGUUAUAUAGAAAUAUUAUCCUGGGACUAACACAGUACAAAGCAACAUGAUAAAUAUCAAAAGAGCACUGUUCUUACAUAGCACUAAACACAGAGAAAAAAGGUUUGAGUGAAGACUGAAAUAAACACUAUUUCCCCAGCCCCCAGCUUGUCAUCUAAAUAGAGAGAUUGAGUGCUAGUGUUCUAUGAGGAACUGAACCACUUAUUUUGGUUUAUAUGUUAUGAUUUUAAAGUCAUUGACAGGACAAAAGGAAAUAUUUUACUGGAAUAUCUGAUAGAACAACAUACUUUAGGGAGCAGAGACCAUUCUUCAGGUUACCUUAGAGGAUUUUUAUUUUUUGAAAGGCUCCUUUUUGUCCUUUGUAAGUAGUCAGUGUCUAAUUUGGGGGAUUUAGGAAGGACAUGGAGAGUAGUACUGCUUUUGAAGACUCUUCCUCAGGAGAAGGAUCCCACGCUGCUGGUGUUCUCUUUGAUUAUCUGCUCCCUGGGAUUUUUGGAACUGUACUAUAUAAAUGUAUCCAGGCUGCCAAUUGGGCUCCCAUUCUUUUCCCAGUCCUUAGUAAUUUAUCACUAGACUUCCUGAUAAAUUAAUUCUUAAUUGAAUCUAAGCAUGGAAUAGGUCAUCCAGAAACCUAUGUCAAACUGGUUGCAUCUGGAAUUGGGAGAGAACUUAACCAAAAGCUCUGUGAUGUGGCUAUGGCUGCUCUCCAGAAUGUGUGAGAUCUGGCAAAUGUGAACAUUAGCCAGAUGAUGCAAGUAGAUUCCUGUGUCAGGUUGUCUCCCUAAAUAAACCAAAGGAUUGACGUGUUAUUGCUGAGAAUAUAGAACAUUUGAUAGCAAUGGUUUAUCUGAACUCUGAUACUGAAAAAUCUCCAUUCAGCAACAGAAUGUUGCAGAAGUGCCCUAUGCUGAAUAAAUACCCACAAUAAUUAUUUUGUGUAAAUUGAGAGAUUUAUAUUUACAUUAAUUGGCUUUAUUUUUAUUAUGAAAAAGUCUUUCUAGCUGAUGUGUGCUACCGAAUUCUACUUUAAGGCUUCUAUAUAGCUGGAUCAGUACAGAGUAUAUAGAUGAAGAAAAAAUCUGAUCUUUAGAUCUAUAUGUGCAGAAAUGAAGUCUGAAUGCCCAAUGAUUUACUGCAUAAAAGGCAGCUAUUUUCAAAUCCCUGAUCAGAGCAGUAAGAUGUAGAGAAACAUUAAGUAAUGGAAAAGGAAGCAGAUAAAUGACAGAACUGUUGUGAAGCUAAUGUGAUACUAAAUAAUAAUCAUUAAGGCAGUACUGCUGCUACAGUAGGCUUACCAAUGCAUUUCAAAGAGCCACAUUAGAAUUCCAUAUUGUGUUACAAAGGGGAUAAGGUUUGAUUGGUGUACAUCAAAGGUGAUGAGUUUAGGAUUUUUUGGUAGAGUGGUUUCAAUUUGUGUAGGAGCAUGUACACAGGUAAAACUAAUACCUGUUUAUUUUCUGGGGGGGAAAAACCCAAACAUUCAUUUCCAGUAACAUCAGCAACAUGUUAUGAUACAGAAGUAAUUGUUUCACAAUUAAGGAAUUCCGAAAAUGUGAAUGACUAAUGUAACUUGAUGUGAACUGAUGAGCAUGUUUGUGUAUUUUUUUUGCAGUUUUUUAAUCGUGACUUAAGUAAAUAAAUCUAGUAGUG
ensembl:lncRNA